CUGCCAGUUGUGAGGGUGGCUAGACACUGUCUGGGAGACCUCAGGUCCCAUGGCUCUGGGAGCCAUCCCAUCUUGUGGGCCCAAACAGGCUAACCCCACUGGUAAUAUCCAGGCACUUGGGCGGCAGAGAAGGGGGAGUUUCUAGGAGCCUCCCCCAAGAGGGAAGAACAAAAAGGAAGGAGCCUAGCCUGGUCCUUUCCCCUUUGGUCCCAGGAGGCAGAUCCAGGACUCAAGGGGAGAUAUGGAGGGGCUGGCAUCUGUGAUCCCAGUAGCCUGCUGGCCAGAUCCCAGGCCUCCCAGACCUUCUAUUUAUCCCCCUCCCCCAGAUACACAUGCUGGUGCUGGACAGCUGGGCUGUGGCGGAAGUUUACAUACAAAGGGUUUGCUGGGCCAUCUCGGUACACACAGCUUCACUUCCUUCUGAGGCACAACCCGUGUCUGAGCUGCUGCCAUGGGGGUCCUGGGGGCCACAGAGGCCAUGGGGCAGGUUGGGAGGGUCUGCUCCCAGCCUCCCAGACCCUGCCACUCCUGCCUGUCCCCAGGCCCUGAUGACCUCUUAUCCUUCUGUGCCCUGCAGAUCCCCACAGUCAGAACUCAGGCACACUGGGCCUGCUGGCAGAGGAUGUUGGACCCAAAUCCAAUCCAUGUGUGAGUUGUUCCCAGGGAAGUGACGUGCCACGCUGCUUCACCCCAGCCUUGGGCCGCCGGGCUUGACAUGCUCAACUGGGGCAACGGAGCAAAUUCCCAGAACAAGUUUUGAGAAAGAUGAUUCAGAGCUUUGCAGAGGAUGAGGAAAGGGGAGAGCUUGCGGAUCCUUGCUGCCACCAGGACUGGCCUGGGGGCACGUGGCAGGCAGAGGCAGGCUCAGGUGCACAGGGAGCCUGGGUGUUGGGGCUCAGGGUCUGCUCUGAGCGCCCCAGUGGGCACAGCUCAGGUUGAUCUCUGAGGGCAAAUGAUGAGAGCUAAAAGGCAGCAGUGUGAGUGCCAAGAAUGUGUGCUAGGCACAGCACAUGCAUGAUCCUGUAUGAACGACAAGGAGAACAGGGACACAGGUGGACGGCACUGAGGCUACCUGCCGAGAUGUGGUGCCUGGGAGGUAGAGCCAGAACCUGACACAGUCCCACUGCUUUUUCAAGGAGAUGCAGUGAGAAAGCAAAGGCAGGGUCUUGGCAGGACCAGGUGUGAGAGGAGGCAAGGCCUCCUUGUGGUCCUGCUCCCAGGGGGUGGCAUGUAUCCCAGGCCCAGCAGCCUCCACUGUGGCCUCCCCGGCUGCUGCCUGCUCCAACUCACUCGGGGCUGCUCUGGGGACCCAGGUGCUUCCUGACCCACUUUUCCUCUUUCCUUUUGACCCCAGGUCCAAACUCUGCCCUGUCAAUCAUCCCAGGGGCUCCUAGGCUUCCCUACCUGACUACUUCACUGGGGCCAAACCCCGCAGACAAUCGUGGCUUAGGGCUGUCUGCCUCUGCACUUGGCCCAUGGACUACCUGGCAGCCAACAUUUGCCCUGGAGAAGCCUUAUGGCAAACACCAGGCACCAAGGUGCACAUCCCUGAUGGAUCCUGGGAUCAGUUGACACUCAAUCCACCUGCCUUCUGGGUCCUCUGGGCCCUCUGGGUCCAUGUGGCAGCUGGAGGUAUGGUAGACACUUUUUAAAAAAUGAGUUCUGGUAAGAAGAAGGUGAUAAAUGGCUAUUUGUCCACGUUGGGACCCGGAGGGGAGGGAUGGCAUGCCCUUACAUGGGACUCCUACCCCCAGCGGGGCAGCUGGCCACUCUGAGGGCAGUUUUGCACCUGCCUCCUGGCUGGAAAGUGAGUUCCCACUGUGCUGUCCCUCCCUGGGGCCCAGCACGGGGCCCGGCCCCACACCGACCUGAAGAGGUUGGUAGGAUGACUGAAUGAAUUGACGCUGGGAUGCAGCAGGGCCCAUGGGCAGAGGCUCCAGAGCCUGGGAAGGAUGGGGUGGCCUUUCUGUGGCCCUCCGAAUUGAGAGAGGUCUCAGAGGCCUGACACCACGGCUUUCCGUCCAGGGUUCCUGGUCACCCGCGGAGGGCUCAGAGCCCCGGUGGACUCGGGGUCCCGCCUUAAGGGGGGUGCCUAGGGCAGAAGGAGGAGGGAUGUCGGCCCCCUCAGACCCGCACCCCAGGCCCUCCCCACCACCUUUCCUUCCCUCAGGCCCUCUGUCUUCCCAGUCGCCCCGCCCC
rnacentral:lncRNA from 1 species